rnacentral:lncRNA from 1 species
GGACAGCCCCGUGGUACAGAAGACCGCCCCACACCCUCUCAUAAACUUUAUUACUCCCUACCCAUUGGUCCCUCUCGCCCUCUUCCCUCUGUUCCCUAUAUCUCCAGGGAAAUGCACCUAGCUUUCAGUCUGGCUCCGCUUGAUGGAAAACUCAGAGCUCGAGGAGGCGACCCUGACUCGACCCGGCAGAAAAGAGGAGACGGAAAACUCCCUCCCUAGAAUCUGGAAUGAACUCCUUGUGUCUGCGGUUCUUCCAGCCUCUCUGGCUUUGGCAGGACACUAGAUUCUGGCUUACCCUUCCCCGGCUCUCGGCUCUCGUCCCUGGCCAGCCACUGUGACCACUGCUUUGCCAGACCACCAGUGUGUCAGAUUCGUUUCCGUUCCGGAAGAUUGGUAUUUGUAUGGUUAUUGUUUUGAAAAAAAGAAAACGAAUUAAAUUAAGGGGAACCAAGGAGAGGGAUAUUUGUAGCUGAGGCCAUUGCUUCAGUGUGGAGCCCUGGUUGUGCCCUUCAGAGCCUCGGGCCGAGAGGGAGUGUGGGGGCUGUGGGGCCCCCGGGAAUUAGCGCGUGGAGUGAACGUCGGGGCAAGAGUUGGGGUGGAUUAGCGGGUUCAAAAGCAGGUCAGGGGGAGCUAAGCGUGGCGACCAAGUCCGUGCUAGGUCAAGGUCCCUGGCAAAGGCUGGCUCGAGCGAUCUGCAGGAAGCCGUACCAGUCUGCAGCUGCCCAGCCAGGGACCAGAGAAAUGCAACAGGAACCCAUGCUUGUCUGCAAUAAUUUACAGGACCCCGUUCGAGCUCCCUGGUUGAGGUGUGCUCACCUUGAAAGACAGGGUUUCUCUUUUACAUUUUAACCUUUUCUUUCUUUUCUUCUUUAUGUUUGAGACAGGACCUCACUCCGUAGCCCAGGUUGGCCUCCAGCUCAGGGCCAUCCUCCUGUGGAACCCCUGAGAUCACAGGCGUGUCUCACCAAGUCCCACCUCUUUGUUUUUAUACUCCCUCCUUUCUGACCAGAUAAAUACAUCGACCCACGCAGGGGAGAAGUUUCCUACUUCCAGCUCUGGGGAAAGUACGGAAGGUGGCAAGGAGCUGUGGAAAGCGGAGGUGGCUUGGGAGAGGCCUGGGCUGUGGAGUCCCCGGGCGGCUCCCGCGACUUCUCUGGAAUGCUUCCGAGCUGCAGGCCCUGGAUGCUGGCGUGCAGG